rnacentral:Y_RNA from 1 species
GGUUAGUCCAGUGGUAGGGAGUUACCUCAGUUGUUCACAAUCAGUUACAGAUUGAACUUCUUAUUCUACUCAUUCCCCCUUUCUCACUACUUCACUUAACUAGUCUUGG